rnacentral:ncRNA from 1 species
ACCGGUUCGGAACCAUAUCCAUUCAGGGUGCUUGUGCAUGGUAUGGUUCUUCUUUCGUAGAGUCAUUUGCCUGGUAGAUUCCGAUAACGAAUGAGACUCAAUUAUAUUACAAAGAUGUUUACUAGAUUAUGGUGUUGAAAAUUUUCCUUGCCUUCAUUUACGAGUAAAAUGUAUGAGUGUUUGAAUGUAUUCAUAAAAGUGGCGGUUUACAGGACAUUAGCUUCUUAAAUAUCUCGAAUUGCUGCCAGCGCUAAUGAGAUUGAGCAAUAGCAUCUAUGUGGGGCAUUUAGACGUCCUGG